AUGUGUUUCCAGAGGCUCCUUUCUUCACUCACCUGUCCCUGGGACCCUCUUUCCAUCUUCCUCUGUGACUUAAGUGUGAAGGCUGCACUCCCCUACUUGAAACCAGCUGUCUGUAUGAUUGUGAAGCUUUCCUGAGCAAGUUCCCCUUCCAGGUCCAGAUAGUAUGCAAUCCCCUGUAAACUAUAGAUAUUGCAAGUCCUAAAACAAAUUACCGUGUUAACGGAACAUGAGUACCAACGGCAAAAUAUUUUUCCAGCAAGCAGCAGUGCUCUUGCUAGGAUGCAUGCAGUAUGAGGACAUUCAGACAGUCUGUCCUCAGCUUGGCCUUCGCAGUACGGUUCCAGCUCUGACUCAAGAAGCAGCAGGAUCUAUGAGCUCUGACUGAGCAAGGAAGCAUUGCCCUGCAGCUGGCGUUUUGCACGCUGCAUGUUCAAGGAAGGUAAAGAAAUGUCUUUUUCAAAGCCUGGUAAAUGUCUCGGAACCUAUCAGUCAUACUCUCUUUAAUGUGGAGGAACAGGAUGUGACAGUUGGUGUACUGGUGAGACCAGAUAUAUCAGCACUCAGGCCUGGGUGUAGUAUAUGAGUCCUCUGCACAGAGGAAGACAAUACAC
rnacentral:lncRNA from 1 species